CUGAGUACUACACUCUCUACCCUUUGUGAACUAUUAUACCUGUUGCUUCGGCGGCGCCCGCGAGGGUGCCCGCCGGUCUCAUCAGAAUCUCUGUUUCGAACCCGACGAUACUUCUGAGUGUUCUUAGCGAACUGUCA
rnacentral:misc_RNA from 1 species